UAGUACGAGAGGACCGGAGUGGACGCAUCACUGGUGUUCGGGUUGUCAUGCCAAUGGCACUGCCCGGUAGCUAAAUGCGGAAGAGAUAAGUGCUGAAAGCAUCUAAGCACGAAACUUGCCCCGAGAUGAGUUCUCCCUGAGACUUAGAGUCUCCUGAAGGAACGUUGAAGACGACGACGUUGAUAGGCCGGGUGUGUAAGCGCAGCGAUGCGUUGAGCUAACCGGUACUAAUGAACCGUGAGGCUUAACCUU
rnacentral:rRNA from 1 species